AACGAACGCUGGCGGCGUGCCUAACACAUGCAAGUCGAACGAGAAAGGGGCUUCGGCUCCGAGUAAAGUGGCGCACGGGUGAGUAACACGUGGGUAACCUGCCUCUAAGAUUGGGAUAACUCGUCGAAAGAUGAGCUAAUACCGAAUAAGACCACAGUUCCCGCGGGAACAGGGGUCAAAGGUAGCCUCUGCUUGCAAGCUAUCACUUAGAGAUGGGCCUGCGCACCAUUAGCUAGUUGGUAGGGUAACGGCCUACCAAGGCAAAGAUGGUUAGCUGGUCUGAGAGGAUGAUCAGCCACACUGGAACUGAGACACGGUCCAGACUCCUACGGGAGGCAGCAGUGGGGAAUAUUGCGCAAUGGGCGAAAGCUUGACGCAGCAACGCCGCGUGAGUGAGGAAGGCCUUCGGGUCGUAAAGCUCUGUCGGGAGGAACGAAUGCUCCUGAGGUUAACAGCCUCGGGAGGUGACGGUACCUUCAAAGGAAGCACCGGCUAACUCUGUG
rnacentral:rRNA from 1 species